UAGGGAAUAUUAGUAAUGGGCGAAAGCCUGAACUAGCAACGCCGCGUGUGUGAAGAAGGCCUUCGGGUUGUAAAGCACUUUUUGAGAGGAUGAGGAAGGACGGUACUCUCAGAAUAAGUCUCGGCUAACUACGUGCCAGCAGCCGCGGUAACACGUAGGAGGCAAACGUUAUCCGGAUUUACUGGGCGUAAAGCGCGUGUAGGUGGUUUGGUAAGUAGGGCGUGAAAGCUCCUGGCUCAACUGGGAGAGGCCGUUCUAAACUGCCGAACUAGAGGAUGGUAGAGGGAGGUGGAAUUCCGGGUGGAGCGGUGAAAUGCGCAGAUAUCCGGAGGAACACCAGUGGCGAAAGCGGCCUCCUGGACCAUUCCUGACACUCAGACGCGAAAGCUAGGGUAGCAAACGG
rnacentral:rRNA from 1 species